rnacentral:rRNA from 1 species
GUCCGCGUUGAUGUGCUAGGGAAGACAUCAAAAUACAACUACCGGAGAAACAGUUGUUUAAGAGCAGGUAGUCGAGCUACGGAAGAAGGGAAGGCAGUUCUGCUGCACUGCCACUACAAGAAAAUAUAUCAUUUGCCACCAGAUAUUUUGUCACCAAGCGGUUUGGUGGCUGAAGAUGUACUAAUUGCAACCAGCUAAUUAGUUCCUUGGUCACCAUAGGCCUAUGUGUUGUACCCUCACGACUUUGUAUCCAGUGGAGAAAUAGCAACCAAGGGCUAGUAUGCAAAAAGGCAAGUCACCUUCCUAGCGUCUCCCCAAAUCCCCCAAAUCAGAUCGACAUCCCUGGCGGCGGCCGACGCGUUCCUUGGUGGCUGACUCGUUCCUGUCGGCGGAGGGGGCGGCGGAAGGCGGAGGGCGCGCUCCCCGCGACGGCUGGCGUUUUCCUCGCGGCAGAAGAGAGGGGGGCUCUUCCUUGCGGCAGCGGCGGGCGUGUUCCUCACGACGGCGGCGGCGACGGGCAUGUUCCUCGCGACGGCAGCGGCGGGCUUGUCCCUUGCGGCGGUGGUGGCAGCUCGGCUGCGUGGGGGAGGUGAAGCAGCGGCGGCAGCGGCCGCGUGGUCGAAGGGAAGGGGCGCCUAGGGUUCCUCCUUCCCCAACCCCAACCAGCUCUGCAGGAACCGACGCCCCAAGCUCGCCAACGAGAUCUCGCUCUCACCGUCAACACCAGAAAAAGCUUCAACCCAUGGGACCUGGACGAACAGUCCGGCCACCAAGAAAUGCCCCGCAAUCUCAAGGUCAACAUUCUGGGAGUACCUCAGCAUCAAAAUCCAGGAAGGUACGUGGGAUAAAUAAGGGAAAGGGCUUGGAGCGUUUGAUCAAAAGGGCAGGUCAUCCACUAAACUUGACCAUCUCCGAAGAGAGAAGACCUAUUGGAGAAAAUAAUGAAUUACUUUCCAGAGAGAUUGGACUUCUUACACGGUACCAUGCACCUAUCCAACGUGCCGGGUGGCAUAGUCUGACUGAGGAUGAUAAGGAGCCGUUGUAUGAACUUCUAAAGCUUAAGUUCAAUCUUGAUUUCACCCAAGAUCAUAUCAAAGGCUGUGUGGAUCUGCUAUUCUCUUCAAGCUACAAAAGUUUCCGUCACAAGUGUUAUGAACAUUAUGUAAAAUCUGGUGAUGAUGCUAGAAGCAAUCCAUAUCCUCCCCUUAUUGAUAAUAGAGUUGGAGACUGGAUUUGGCUCUGUGAUCAUUUUGAAACAGAAGAAUUUAAGAAACGGUCCACAAUUGGGAAGGCUAACCGCUCAAACCUACCUUAUGUUCACAAGAAGGGAACAAAGUCAUUUGUAGCGGUUCAACAUGAAUUAAAUUGUGGCGAUAUCAGACUAUACAAGGAGUGUUACUCUAGUGAUAAGAAGGGAUGGGCAUCAGAAGAUGCCAGGAAUAAACAUAAGCAAAAGGAACCUAUAGAGGAGGGUGAAGUACCUUUAACAGAGCAACAGAUUUGCGAGCAUGUGCUAGGUAAGGCAUAUGGUUACGUCAGAGGUCGGGGUCAUGGACCAAAACCAAAUAGAAGGGCUUACUCAAGCGCAUCAAGCUCAACUCAGCAUGUAGUGGAAGAAUUGGCCUCUACAAAGGAGAUUGUUGCUACGCAGCAAACUCAAAUUGAGGCUCAACAAUCUCAACUUGAAGCUCAACAGAAGAAGAUCGAUUGGCUACAAAGUGUCGUGUCUAACUUGGUUGGCAUUUCACCUCCUAUGGACGGCACUAGUGCAACAGGGCUAGGUUUCACAACUGAGCGGCCAAUGCCAUCUGACGGAAUAGGUUCGCUGAUAUCUAACACUGUAGAAAGGAUGUCAAGUUUUCCAAGAUCAUUUGCAAGUCAUUUGAGGCCAGGAUAUAGACCUGCUCCAACUUCUUCUUCUGAUGGCAAUGGCUCUCUGGUGUCGGAUGGAGGGUCCAGGAGAUGACCUUGGAGGAGCAGCGGAAAGCAAUACUCGCGCUAAAGACUGAGAAGAGAAAACUAGUUGGAUCUAAAGAAAAUUCAGUGUACAAAUGCUAAAUGUAAUGUUUGGAUCAUAUUGGGGUUUACUGAUUGGAUCAUAUGUUCAGAUCAGUACUAAACGUGGUACUGUACUUUGCAAAUGCUAGAGUGGUAUUUCCUACUUGCAAAACAAAAUUCAGUUUAGCAUGUAAUGUUUGGAUCAUAAGUUUACAAAUGUUGAUUCUGAACUUCUGAAUGUUGGUUUUGAACUGCCAAAUGUCUAAAAUUCUGAGAUUUCUUGCA